UACGUAGGGGGCAAGCGUUGUCCGGAAUCAUUGGGCGUAAAGAGCGCGUAGGCGGCCCUGUAAGUCCGCUGUGAAAGUCAAGGGCUCAACCCUUGAAUGCCGGUGGAUACUGCAGGGCUAGAGUCCGGAAGAGGCGAGUGGAAUUCUCGGUGUAGCGGUGAAAUGCGUAGAUAUCGAGAGGAACACCUGCGGCGAAGGCGGGUUGCUGGGCUGACACUGACGCUGAGGCGCGAAAGCUAGGGGAGCGAACGGG
rnacentral:rRNA from 1 species